AAUAGAUACCCUGGUAGUCAACGCCGUAAACGAUGUCGACUUGGAGGUUGUUCCCUUGAGGAGUGGCUUCCGGAGCUAACGCGUUAAGUCGACCGCCUGGGGAGUACGGCCGCAAGGUUAAAACUCAAAUGAAUUGACGGGGGCCCGCACAAGCGGUGGAGCAUGUGGUUUAAUUCGAUGCAACGCGAAGAACCUUACCUACUCUUGACAUCCACGGAACUUUUCAGAGAUGAAUUGGUGCCUUCGGGAACCGUGAGACAGGUGCUGCAUGGCUGUCGUCAGCUCGUGUUGUGAAAUGUUGGGUUAAGUCCCGCAACGAGCGCAACCCUUAUCCUUUGUUGCCAGCGGUUAGGCCGGGAACUCAAAGGAGACUGCCAGUGAUAAACUGGAGGAAGGUGGGGAUGACGUCAAGUCAUCAUGGCCCUUACGAGUAGGGCUACACACGUGCUACAAUGGCGCAUACAAAGAGAAGCGACCUCGCGAGAGCAAGCGGACCUCAUAAAGUGCGUCGUAGUCCGGAUUGGAGU
rnacentral:rRNA from 1 species